AUUAAAACCGUAGACCCGCUCUUCUCCGUCCUUCUUUCAUCGCAGUCUUCUGGAGAUUGCAGAUGUGGCGUUUACUGUCAUCGGUGUUCUGCUGUAAGGUCAACAUGUCCUGUGAAUGGCGACGAUGUCAGAGGUGACCGCAAGGGCAGUGGUGGAAUGUGAUCAGAUGGGAUGUUGGUGACUUAAACUGACUCCGGCAGACUCAUCAGCAGGAGGCUGGGGAUGUGACCAAGGUUGGAUGCCCUUCCUGUCAGUGUGGUGGUGGCAUAAGAUGCUGCAUCUCCCAGCCCUGUGUGAUGCCAGUAGAUGAGUGUGGACCGUGCCGAGAGAAAGGACCGGAGGUUCUUCGGAGAACCAACAGGAACAAAGAUCUGCGUGUGACCCAUACAUCUUAUUGAAGAUUCCUUCCCCCCCCCCCUUGUUGGCGUCACACUUUAUUGUACAAUAAAGUUUAUUUUUAUAAAACCCUCCA